UGGUGGGUAGCUCAGUGGUAGAGUACAUGCUUUGCAUGUCUGAGGCCCUGGGUUCAGUCCCCAGCACCAU
rnacentral:tRNA from 1 species